GGCCUACACCGUAAAAUUGUUAUUAAAGGGGGGGAAAAGCCACCGUCAAAGGUUCCAUUCUCAGUGCAAGCAAAAGGGAGAAAACCCCUUUGUCAGCAGCAAAAGCAGAUGGGAUAAUACCGUGAAUAAUUUGCCUUUCAUGUUCUAAAGCCCUAAGAAAACUUAUAUUAAAGCAGAGAGGGCAACUAAAAGUUUUACUGUUCUGGAAAAGGUGUGAAGUGCUUGUGAGGCUGGAAAUGCUCCGUCGCUGUGGCUGCUGAAUGGGGACGGUGCCCUUCAAGGAGAGCAGAGGCGGAUUUUGACUGUUGCCGGGAGAAAAGGCUGUAAAAGGUCUGGGCUGGGUUCUGGCCCUGCAGAGGAGAAUUUACCGUCCGGAGACGCGGGGAUGUGAAAGCAGAACCGUGUGCGGGCUGUGAUGGGAUCGGCUCGGAGCACAAGAGCUCGGGCUGGGGCUUCUCCGCGGAUUCCCGCCCCGGCCCCCCCUGGAGUCAAACGUUCCCAGUGUCGCCCCGCGGUCGCCAUGUUGCUGGGUUUGUGGCCGGGAUUCCCGGGAACUCGUUAAAAUGGGGAAAAAGCAGCAAAUUCCGAGGGAUUUGUGCUGCUGCAUUAAAGAAACAGGCCCUGAUUUGCCUCAUAAUUAUUGCAUUUCUCUGUCGUUCGUUAACCCUGUGAAUUUAUUUAUUAUUAUUAUUAAAGGUGGUGCCUUUCCCCUUAAG